GGUGAGAGAGGCGGUGCGUUGCCCGCUUUGGGUCCUCGCUAGAGACGGGGACCUGGGCGCUCCGGACGUGAUGCUCCCGGGAGCACCGAGCGCAUUACCUGGUUUUCUGUGAGCUGCUCUGAGCGGCACAGCGCCGGGUCCGAGGCUGGAAGCCAGGAGCAAGAGCCGGAGCAAGACGCCUUGGGUUAAAUCCAUUUCACCUCGGGCGCCUGAGAAGUUUCACCAAGUCCUGGGCGCACAGGAAAAGGGCGUCUCCUGAGAUACGUCGGGAGACGCAGCCCCCGCGGAUCCCCUGACCGAGGUUCUGUGCUGAGAACAGAAUGACCACAGGAAAGAAAGGACAACAAUGUCUUUCUUCUGCGCUCAAGAUGACCACAGUUUUGUUGAGAGAAGACAGUUGCACACAAAGCAGAGAAAAGGAAGCACCAGGAGGAAAUGAGGAGAGGACUGGGAGAUCUGAAGAUCCAGUCUGAUGUCACCAAGUGGGAGGUGUCAAGGAGGUGCAAAAUAGCUGAGUGAGAGGAGA